rnacentral:rRNA from 1 species
CGUAAUGCGACGCGGAGGGACAUUACCGAGUUUACAACUCCCAAACCCCUGUGAACAUACCACUUGUUGCCUCGGCGGAUCAGCCCGCUCCCGGUAAAACGGGACGGCCCGCCAGAGGACCCCUAAACUCUGUUUCUAUAUGUAACUUCUGAGUAAAACCAUAAAUAAAUCAAAACUUUCAACAACGGAUCUCUUGGUUCUGGCAUCGAUGAAGAACGCAGCAAAAUGCGAUAAGUAAUGUGAAUUGCAGAAUUCAGUGAAUCAUCGAAUCUUUGAACGCACAUUGCGCCCGCCAGUAUUCUGGCGGGCAUGCCUGUUCGAGCGUCAUUUCAACCCUCAAGCCCUCGGGUUUGGUGUUGGGGAUCGGCGAGCCCUUGCGGCAAGCCGGCCCCGAAAUCUAGUGGCGGUCUCGCUGCAGCCUCCAUUGCGUAGUAGUAAAACCCUCGCAACUGGAACGCGGCGCGGCCAAGCCGUUAAACCCCCAACUUCUGAAUGUUGACCUCGGAUCAGGUAGGAAUACCCGCUGAACUUAAGCAUAUCAAAGC